rnacentral:piRNA from 1 species
UAUUCUCAGGUGGGGAACUCAUUCUAG